AUUGAACGCUGGCGGCAGGCUUAACACAUGCAAGUCGAGCGGUUGCAGGCCGCUUGCUCCUGGCGUGUGCGGCACAGGGGAGUGUUACGCCUAAACAUGUCCCUGGUAGUGGGGUAUCACGUCGGGAGAGUAGCUAUUAUACCGUACACUCUCUGGGUGAGAUCGGGGGGCCUUAUCGCAUCGCGCGCUUGCAGCUGCCCCUAGGUCGGAUUAGCUAGUGGGUGGGGUAAAGGCCUACCAAGGCGACGAUCCGUAACUGGUCUGAGAGGAUGAUCAGUCACACUGGAACUGAGACACGGUCCAGACUCCUACGGGAGGCAGCAGUGGGGAAUAUUGGACAAUGGGCGAAAGCCUGAUCCAGCCAUGCCGCGUGUGUGAAGAAGGUCUUCGGAUUGUAAAGCACUUUAAGUUGGGAGGAAGCGCAGUAAGUUAAUACCUUGCUGUUUUGACGUUACCAACAGAAUAAGCACCGGCUAACUUCGUG
rnacentral:rRNA from 1 species